CCAGGCUCUGCCCUGUGCCUACAGUCUGGGUUGCUGUUAACCCCUUUGCUUCCAGGGAAAAUUAUGGGCCCAUGAUCAGCUCUGGUCCAGCCCAGCAGGACCCUCAAAAUUUUUCUGCACAGCAGCUUCCUAGGCACAAGUCUUGGAUGCUUUUGAAUGGCAGAGGAAUCCUAGAGUUGACCUGCUACUCCCCUUAGGGCAAAGUCAUCUGAAACUUGAUAGGAAUGCACUCUAAUCCCACACUUAUUGGAUAAGACAGUCCCAGCAUUGUUACCAAACUCUGUGUAAAGAAUUUCCUCUUAAUUACCACCCUCCAAGCAUGAUUAUAUAAUAAUUUUAGCCAAUCUGGUUGUCCACCCAUUCAGACUGAAAAAGCACAAAUUGGAAAUCGGAAUUUUGUGGGAUACACUGUCAAAUCACAUUCUUCUCCUUCAUUUUCCCUGAAAUCAUAAUACAUAUUUUAUUUUCUACAGUUCAAAGUUUUUCUGCCUUUAAAUUCUUGGAAAACUGAAAAUUUUUUGCACACUGAACUGCAGCCAAAUAAAUUCUGAGUUUUGAAUGGA